UGGAAGGGCCAUCGCUCAACGGAUAAAAGCUACCCUGGGGAUAACAGGCUUAUCUCCCCCAAGAGUCCACAUCGACGGGGAGGUUUGGCACCUCGAUGUCGGCUCAUCACAUCCUGGGGCUGUAGUAGGUCCCAAGGGUUGGGCUGUUCGCCCAUUAAAGUGGUACGCGAGCUGGGUUCAGAACGUCGUGAGACAGUUCGGUCCCUAUCCGUCGCAGGCGUAGGAAAUUUGAGAAGACCUGUCCUUAGUACGAGAGGACCGGGAUGGACGUACCUCUGGUGUACCAGUUGUUCUGCCAAGGGCAUGGCUGGGUAGCUAUGUACGGAAUGGAUAAGCGCUGAAAGCAUCUAAGCGCGAAGCCAACUUCAAGAUAAGAUUUCCCACCGCAAGGGUAAGACCCCAGAAAGACUAUCUGGUUGAUAGGUCGAAGGUGUAAGUGCAGCAAUGUAUUUAGCUUAUCGAUACUAAUAGGUCGAGGACUUGACCAAU
rnacentral:rRNA from 1 species